UUUACAAAAUCAAUUCUCGUUUAGGCUUCUGAAGACGAUGGGCGUCCCCGAGGGGGACAUCGCGGAACUUGAACGACUGUGGACCAUCGAAGCAAAGAAUCGCGGCGACGUCGAUUCGAUCGGAUCUCUGGAUUCGUCUUCGAGUGGCAACCUGUCCCCGGACGGAACUUACCUGCGUAAUUCCUUGAGCAAACCGCUGUCCCGUGCUCUUCGUGAAAUCGUGGCGACGAAGCCCUUCGAUCCGAUCGAGUACCUCGCUCAUUGGCUGUUGAACUACAAGGUUUGUCAGGAACGAGAAAAAAGACGAAAGGAAUUGGAUCUUGAGCUGAUGAUCGAGCGAGAAAGACGUAGACCGAAAGUUCGUGUUUCUCGUCGAAUCAAACGUUCGUCAAGAUUCUGCAACGUGCUCUCGUUUUCAGGAAGAGGAACGCGAGGAAGGAUUGUACGGGGAUGAAUGCGAAGAGGAAGAGGAGUGCGCGGGCGAUUGGGACGAAUGAUUCGAAAUAAGGAAAGAGACAUGAUCUAAUAAAUAAAUCAGUGAGUUUAUUUGCUUAAAUACGAUCCUGUAGCAAUCGAUCGCUCGAACUAUACUCGUACAGCUACCAACGCUAUUAUUACAAAAAUAUCAAUUAAUACUGUGAUCUACGACGCUCGCCGAAGUGCUCCUCUCACGUGCAUUGAAUGGUUCAUUGAUUCACCGUUCUUCUCCGGGCCCUUUUUUCACGAUCCAACGAUAAAGAUAGAAACUAGUUUGUGACAAAACAAAGGCGAGAAGUUGAAAGUCUGUACUGGACAAGUGAUAGACAAGUGAUUCUGGCGAGAUACAGAGAUACAUUAUCACGCGAGUUUAUCCUCCAUGCAGAAUAUCGUGUAAACGAACUGCUUGAACGGCGAGCACUGUCGCUUCUCGCGAAUUUUCCGCUUGGUCUCCUUGAACUCGCGCCACGAGGCCAGUUCUUUGGCGUUCUUGGGCCCCCAAUCUGAAGACGGUGCGAAAGCCGAACGGAUCAUCUGCACAGAGACGUUUCGAUCGUCAGGACACGCUGCGAUUAACGCUAGAUUAAUCAACGUAACAGCGAAUUUAUGUAAUAAAGUUUCAUUGCACCAUAUACUGUAAUAAAAAUCAUUCUGGAUGCAUACCGCGGCCGGUUCCAAGUUCUUCUUGGACAGCACGACGUAGACGAGCCAGAAAGGAACCUGCAGAGCUCCGAAGGCGCAAAUACUCCAUCCAGCAGCUACGUUUCGUUUGGAAAACACGGUGUAAUUAAUUUGGAAGAUAACGUUGAAAGAGGAUACACGUGUAAUUAAUAGACAGCGGAUUCUAUGCAUUUGUGGUAAAAAUAAGUUUUGGUGAAAUUUGAAACGGUAGAAAAUUUAAAGGAAUUUAAUUAGCAAUUUACGGAGAUUGUUAAACGACGAACGACAUUUUUAUCUUGUACCUGUUUGUCGCAAUUUGUGAAGAAAGUUAGUAUUUUGCGUGAAGAUCCGAAAAUCUAGUAAUUGAUGUAACCGUGUUUUAAUCCGUGUACUUUCUUGUACAACAUUAUUACUCUGUAAGUACAUUAAUUGAUUUCUGACACGGAUAUAUUAAUUACACGUGUAUUUUGACGCUAAUCCUGCCGAGCACUAAAAAUGAAUAGCUUUAUAAGACUAGCAAGACUUUUUCUGACACAAUGUAUGCUUACAUUGAGAUAUUUGUUCGAUUAUUUCCUGUGGCAGUGUUUCUCUAAUCAGCACAAUUGUAAGAGGAAAAACGUUAAUGUCGAACACACGUAAAUCAGGUGUCUCUAAUUCGAAAGGCAGACGUACCGUGUGCGCUCUCAGGAUAGGGGAUACCGCUGUACGUAACAGGUGUCAGAGUGAUCAACGUGUAAACUAAGAUCACAGCCAGCAAAAUCGGAGUGAUGACAGCCCAACAGAUUCUCCAGUACGCGGACGGUCUCCUCUUCAGCAUGUACUCGACGUCGUCCACGAAGUUCUCCAAGCCGUAGACCCAGAAUAUUCCAGUGAUCUCCAAAGUGGCUAGGAUGAACACGAUGAACGAGCCGCCGUAGUAAUCGACCAGCUCCAAGACGAAUUGUCCACCCUUUCCAAGAAACCAUUCACAGAGCAGUUUACCAUUCAGUCAGUCGUUUUAUCAAGAUCAAAUGGCGCAAUCGAAUUCCAGCAACCACGAAAACGCGUGCAAUAAAUGGUGCCGACGGAGAACCCGAAGACAACCGUGGCGAGCAUUAUGUAGAAGUACUUCCAGUGUGGAAAUUGGUCGCUGAUGAUGGUGAUGAUGGCUCCAGCGAUGGCGAUGGCGCUCCCGAUACCGAGGACGAACAACAUCAGGAAGAACAACACCGAGAAUAACUGCGAACAAGGCCAGCAGAGGAACCUUGAUACAUAGUUGGUGAUCCGGCGAGGUUGUCCUGAAAACGGCUCUCGUCCACUCUGCCGAGUUUGCGAGUUU